rnacentral:rRNA from 1 species
AACGAACGCUGGCGGCAUGCCUAACACAUGCAAGUCGAACGAGACCUUCGGGUCUAGUGGCGCACGGGUGCGUAACGCGUGGGAACCUGCCUUUAGGUUCGGAAUAACAGUGAGAAAUUACUGCUAAUACCGGAUGAUGUCUUCGGACCAAAGAUUUAUCGCCUUUAGAUGGGCCCGCGUUGGAUUAGCUAGUUGGUGGGGUAAAGGCCUACCAAGGCGACGAUCCAUAGCUGGUCUGAGAGGAUGAUCAGCCACACUGGGACUGAGACACGGCCCAGACUCCUACGGGAGGCAGCAGUGGGGAAUAUUGGACAAUGGGCGAAAGCCUGAUCCAGCAAUGCCGCGUGAGUGAUGAAGGCCUUAGGGUUGUAAAGCUCUUUUACCCGAGAUGAUAAUGACAGUAUCGGGAGAAUAAGCUCCGGCUAACUCCGUG